rfam:Canis lupus familiaris chromosome 30, whole genome shotgun sequence.
GUCUACGGUCAUGCCACCCUGGACGCGCCCGAUCUCGUCUGAUCUCGGAAGCUAAGCAGGAUCGGGCCCGGUUAGUACUUGGAUGAUGGGAGAUCGAGCCCCAAGCCCUGUGUGUC